rnacentral:rRNA from 1 species
GAUGAACGCUGGCGGCGUGCCUAAUACAUGCAAGUCGAGCGAACAGACGAGGAGCUUGCUCCUCUGACGUUAGCGGCGGACGGGUGAGUAACACGUGGAUAACCUACCUAUAAGACUGGGAUAACUUCGGGAAACCGGAGCUAAUACCGGAUAAUAUAUUGAACCGCAUGGUUCAAUAGUGAAAGACGGUUUUGCUGUCACUGAUAGAUGGAUCCGCGCCGCAUUAGCUAGUUGGUAAGGUAACGGCUUACCAAGGCAACGAUGCGUAGCCGACCUGAGAGGGUGAUCGGCCACACUGGAACUGAGACACGGUCCAGACUCCUACGGGAGGCAGCAGUAGGGAAUCUUCCGCAAUGGGCGAAAGCCUGACGGAGCAACGCCGCGUGAGUGAUGAAGGUAUUCGGAUCGUAAAACUCUGUUAUUAGGGAAGAACAAAUGUGUAAGUAACUAUGCACGUCUUGACGGUACCUAAUCAGAAAGCCACGGCUAACUACGUG